UCCGUAGGUGAACCUGCGGAAGGAUCAUUACCAAUUUUAUCGGGGGGGCUUUGGCCCCUGUCUGAACCCUUGUCUUUUGCGUACUAUUUGUUUCCUUGGUGGGCCUUGCCUGCCGAUAGGACACUAUUAAACCUUUUGUAAUUGCAAUCAGCGUCAGAAAAACAUAAUAGUUACAACUUUCAACAACGGAUCUCUUGGUUCUGGCAUCGAUGAAGAACGCAGCGAAAUGCGAAAAGUAGUGUGAAUUGCAGAAUUCAGUGAAUCAUCGAAUCUUUGAACGCACAUUGCGCCCCUUGGUAUUCCAUGGGGCAUGCCUGUUCGAGCGUCAUUUGUACCUUCAAGCUCUGCUUGGUGUUGGGUGUUUGUCCCGCUUUUUUGUGCGGACUCGCCUCAAAGCAAUUGGCAGCCGGCGUACUASCCUGGGAGCGCAGCACAUUUUGCGCGUCUCAACUGGAACGCUUGCGUCCAUGAAGCCUAAAUUUUUGCUCUUGACCUCGGAUCAGGUAGGGAUACCCGCUGAACUUAAGCAUAUCAAUAAGCGGAGGA
rnacentral:rRNA from 1 species